UUUUGACUGAAUUUAUCAAGCUACUUCUAUUUGUGAUAUCUAUUGCGAGUAUUGUUCCUCAGAAUCCACGCAGUUCUAUUCGGAGAUUAGAAUUAUUCCAAGAACAUCUUAUAUUACAUCCAUAAUAGAUGAACUCUCAAAAUCUGAUUGCAAUCAUAAUAAGAUUGUGCACUAACCCCUACUUUUAACUGCAUUUAGAGCGCACCAAACCUUGCUUUUUAAAGACGAUUGCCUCUGACUUCUAAAGCGGCCACAAGAUCCAAGGACUGGCUUGACUAUGUUGAGGUUGAGGUUCAAGUGAUGGGCCCUCUAGAAUUUCAACUAAAUAUUAAGGCGUGUAAAACAUGUGGAUGGAAAUUAAGGAAGUUAAAUUGAAUUAAACCUUUUUUUGUUGGAUUACUUAUGGCUAAGCUGAUGGAUAUUGCAACUCUGAUUUCUUUACAAUCAUGUUGGAUUAUUUGAUGGCUAGGCUCAUGGAUAUUGCAACUCUGAUUGCGUCAAUCACAGAUUAAUGUUUUGGAUUUUUUUUUGUAACAUUUGUGAAGCUCUGUAAUCUCGCUGUAAAAUGAUUGACGCAAUGUAUUCUAUAGAGCAAAUCAUUAAUCGGAUA